AGGAGUAAGCAAGCAGACGGUGUGGAUAAAGUAGCAGGAGAUUUCACAAAGGAAAUAUUCUUGGCCAGACUUGUCGGAAUGUACACUGAAUAAAAUAUUACUUGAAAACAGCAUAUAAUCUACUGCCAGUAUCACCUUAUUUGUGAAACGGGAGCCACAAGAAUAUGAGAAUUGAAGCCAAAUCAGAGGGAGAUCUACUACAAGCAUCGUAGCAGAGCUGGAGGCAGAUGUGACUGGAGAUACAAUGGGAAAUCCAAUAAGGUAAACGUGCCUAGAUGCUGACAGAUGGAAUGACAUGUUUUGGGUCAGGGGGCUUUUCCACCAAGAAGAAGAAGUCAAUCUACAUUCUCCUCAAGACCUAGCAGCUUGUGCUUGAGUUUAGUUUAUUGUAUGGAUUCAGCUUCCUGACUGGUAGAGGAGUUACCAAAGUAUCCCAUCCCUCCCUCAUUUCCAAGGCUGCACAGCUCUGAUGGAACUCCCUCACUGGCCACUGCCUCAAAUUUAGUGUUCCUGGUGGAUUUCAGAAUGCCAGGCACCAAAGUUAUUGCUGACCCAGUUCUCACUAGCAUAGGUGGGGACUCCCUGCAGGUUUUAAGUGUGUGUGUGGCAGAGGGGAGGCAAAGCCUUGAAGAGAAGUCUGCCUCCUCCUCAUACUUGGACCCUGGGCUCAGCAAAGACCCAUACAGAAGUUCCAAGGGCUUAAUCUAGAGUAAUAACGUGGGUUUAGGAUUAAACAAAUAGGGUAACAUUCACCUUUUCCCUGCAGCUUGGAACUGCCUCUGGAGAGUCUCUUAGUUCAUCUCUCCCACUUUGAGACAACAAUUGAAAAGGUUUCCUCUUCAGAAGUGUGUGUGUUAAUCAUUGUUGGGCCAUAUGUCAGACAUUUCAUUUAAUGAUGCCAAAGAGCACGUCUCCACUGCAAAAAAAAACAACCAGUUCCACAGCAGCAAGUCUCAGAGCCCAGGUCAACUGACUUGGGUGUGCGGGGCUCACUCUACAGGUCUUACAAUAGCCGUGUCAACAUUUGGGCUCAGGCUCUGAGACCCUCCCACACUGCCGGCCUCUGAAACCCAGCAGUAGGGGAUGGUCUUAGACCUUGGCUCCAUUCCGAGCCCAAACGUCUACAACUGCUAUUUUCAGCCCUGUAGCCUGAGUUAGUUGACCCAGGCUCUGAGGCUUAAUGACUCGGGUCUUUCUUUUUUUGCAGCAUAGACAUUUUGUAUGGUCACCGAGCAUUGGAUUGUUUUUUAUAUUUUGUGCUUUCUGAUAUUUUAAUUGUUAUUCUGAUUUUAACUAUCAAAAAAGGAGUAAAGACUCAAUGUUAUACAGUUCUUACAAGGCUUGGCA